UGCUCUCUCAUUAUAUCCUUUGUGCCAAAUAUAUGCAAUCUGAACUGUGGGAAAGUACUGCAUAUUCUGUGUACUAAAAGACUGAUUCCAUGUCUACUGAAAUUGGCUGACCUGUGUCUGCUGAAAACAAAGAGCAGAUCUCUAUGGAAAUCCUGUAUCUAAGAGCAAAAUUAUGAUGGAGAUACUGUGAAUUAACCCAUUUCUGGAAGAUGUUUUUUCUAGGUUAGGCAUGUGCUGUGUCAGCACUUAGUGCUGUGUUACUGCCAGCAGCUGCUUUGUCUUUGUUAAGACCAAGCUAUUCUUGUGAUUCUGCCUAAAGAUGCUGCUGCUGGAACUGCACAUACUUGAUUCUUAAGUUUGCUGAGGUUUGCAAAGUGCUAAGGAGAACCUGCUGUUUGUGGAUCUCUGCUUAAGGCUUUGUGACUGGAAAAUAGUUUCUAAAAGAUUGAAAAAAAAACCCCAAGCAACAAGAACACCAAAAGAAUGAGAACUGGUCAACCCUAACUGUAAGUUAAAAGUAGGGCCAGGAGAGCUUGCAGAUUUGAAGAGGUGAAGCAAGGGGCAUCAUUCAUAGGUAUUUUCUAGGGUUAUAAUAAUCCUUUCCAUUUAAACCAAUUAUGAACCCACAGUGCUAUCAAAAAUUUAAAAUAUGUCCCGUAAGUAACUAAGAAGUAUAAAGAAAGAAAAAGUAAGCAAUGUUAUGAAUCCACUUCUGUUGGAUGCAAAGCAGGGCAAAAGUUCUUACACAGCUAAGAAUGUGUGGAUUCAGAGUAGACCUGUUUCCUAUGAGUGAUUUAACUACAGGUGUGACAAGGAAAAAAAAAUCAAUCACAUUCACAGUAGUGAUUAUAAAUCCCUCUCCCUUCCCCCUUUUAUCUGAUACCUCAGCACUGCCUUUUCUAACAAUCUCUGUGCCCCUUGGUUCCCUAGAGAGUGCAAGAACUAAGGAAAUAUGCAUCUUGAGUGAUAUUUGCAGGGUUGCUGCCAUGGGAGCAGUGAAAUACAGCAUGGAAAGAAAUUUAGAGGCCAGGAGCUGAAGGCUGGGCAGGAAAAUGGGAAGAAAAAGAAAGGACUAGAGGAAAGAGCAUCCUGAAGUGCAUCCUACGUUUCUAGAGCAAGAUACAAUCAGGGGAAAAAAACUGAAGGAAAUCACACACAGUAGAUUUCCAUGCCCCCAGUGAUGUGAAUCCUACACUGCUUCUGAAGGCACACACAUCCAUAGCAGUAACACAUUAAAUGUGCAACAAAGAGGAUGCUGCCUGAGCAGCUCCCUCAGCUUUUGGAUCUGUUAUCUCACCGGGAAAGAGAAAAAAAAAAAAAGGAAGUGGGGCAGGAGAAUUAGGAAGGAGGAUAGUGUGCAUGUUCUGAAGUGGUGGAAAAAUUCUUCCUGAGGAGAUUAACCUUUCUGUUGAUGGUCCAGAGCAAAGACCGUGUCACCUAUAACUUGCCCUUCCAGGCAUGCAGCUAUUUCUGCCUUUGAAGGAGAAGAAUAAGUUCGAAAAUGUCUUCGAAGUUCAGGAGAUGUACCACCAUGCAUUUCAUAUCAGUGAUUCUCCUGCUGACCUAACCAGAUGGAAGGGUGCCCUCAUUAUCCCAGCAGGUCUAAAACCAGAAGCUUCUCCUAAUAUUCUGUUCUUCUGGUUUCUCUUCUCUCUCCCCCUGCACACAGAUAAACAAAUAAAUUAAUCUCUCCAUAUGAGACAAAUUAGCAGAUUUUUCAUGGUACUGUUUCAGCACUCAAGUAAGUGCUGCUUGCAGAAAAACCAGCGUUUCAUUUGUCUGUGAACAUCCAGUCCCUACUACUGUCCAGCCUGCCUCUGCCUGAUGUGGAUUUUGGGAGACAGCUUUGCUGCAGAGCUGAGUUUUCUCUGAGCCUGAGAACAGGGGCAGCAGCCCAAGGGCACUGCAUCCAGCUGUGCUUCUGCUUCCUCCUGGCUCCGGAGAAGUAAAUUGCUGUCCAUCUUUCCAUUCCAACGUGGACCUGCCAAAUCCCUCCAGCAGCCAAGAAAAGGGGCAGAAUAAUGGCCAUGCCAGUUCCUCAGCCCUCCCCACCUGCCUGUUUUAGGGAAGAUAUAGGCCCCUAUUUUGUUAUGCUUUAUUCAUAAGCAGCUUAGACUUUAGGUUACCUUCUUGAACAAGCAGCUUUUCUUAUCACAGCCAUAGCUAUACAACAUAUCACAGACUUGGAGAAGAUUUUCUUAAUUACAUACCCAGCCUGGAAUGUGUCCCAUUUAAAAUGGUGCCCAGAGACAUUCUCAGUACCAAUGUUAAAUGUGACCUCAUACCCUCAUAUUUCAUAUGUGAACUCUCCCUGUUAGGCAAAAAUCAAUGUGUGUGAUACAAAUACUUGGUGCAAAGUUGGAGGUCUCCAAUAUGAGAAGUCAGCUUUCUUAUGUGGCAGGUGUUAGAAAAAAUUAAUUUUGUUUCAUCUGAGACAAGAAUUUCAUCUUGAUGCAUCUCCACAUUACAAAGCUUAAGGUCAAGACUUCUGACAUAUGCUGAACAUGUACUUUACCAAGAAUUAGCCACCACAAAACCAACAGAUCAGACUCCUGCGUUUCUUAAGUGGAAAUUCUCUAUUUAUGAAUUAAACAUAAGCCUAAAAAGAGCUAGAAACAUAUUUGUCAUUCAGUGAAAUAUUGGGAUGCCACCAGCAUGAAAUCUGUUGUUUUUAAAAAAUGAAUUAAGCUAAAUUGCUUCCUUUUUUCUUUCUCUUUCCCCCUCAGGUAAUCUUUCCUAUUCAAUUCUCUGGCUUUGCAAUGAGAUUUUCCUAUUUCAUUAGGUGUUUAUAUCUCUCCUGUUGCUAUAUGAAAACUUGCAAGCAGCAAAGAAAAUAAUAUUGACUCUAUUCAGGAAUUGUUUUCAGAUUGACUGAAUAGACAAAACACACUCACUAUAACCUCUCUCAGACUACUGCUCAUAAAGUAAAUUCUACAGGACUAAGUAAUGAAUUAACCUUUUGUUUGCAAUUUGAAGAUCUGUUUACAAAUUUUCAUUUUUAGUGGGAGUUUAUUUGUAAAAUGAAAAAUAUAAGUUCCUUUUAAUUAUUCCUCAGAAGUCACUAAGCAAUGCAGUAAACAGUUCAUGCUAUUUUAUUUGCAUCUGUUUGCACAUUUUUCAGCUCAUUUGCAAUAUUGAUUCAUUUAGAAAGAUGCACAUCUCAAAACAACCAUCUCCCAUCCUCCCUGUUUCUUUAUUUGAGUCACAAACACCCAUCUUAUCCCACCCAACAUCUGAGAGUGCCCUGGUUUUGCCCACAAAAAUAUCAUCACUAUCCAGUCUUCUUGGAGAGCAAACAGAAAACUCCCUACUGAUGGCAGAAGAGGACUUUCCAUAGUAUCUAAAAACUGAAGAGAACCCUGAUCAUCUGUUCUAGUAGAUAUAAAAUGGUUUCUAGCUGGGAUAUUUUGCUUUUCUAGCACUCCAGAAUAAGGAAGCCUGGUGAAAUUAUUAAAAGGAUAUUCCAUGAGAAGGGAUCCCGUUCCCUGCUCCUUGUAUAUUUUACUCCUGCAUGGCCUCCUUAUAAACACACAAAUGAUUUGACUUCUAAGAAAUGUCUCUUCUCCCUUGUGCAGACUGAAUGCAAACAUGCUACAAGGACAAUAUUUUCUUUGGUGUAAAUAACCUAUAUACAUGGAGGACUCACAGAGGGAGACAGUGUUUUCUUAUUUACAACACAGUGGUGUAACACCUUCCAGCAUGAAAAUAGUUACAUUAGAUUUACUUCGUUGUGGCUAACCACAUAGUUUUAAAACAAUAAAAUUAAGUGCUAUGAUUUUGUUCACUACAAGAAUUUUUUACAAUGGUAUUUUAUAUCCAGACUAUUCUACAUCAAAGAUGAACUCAAUAAAAUUUCUUAAAAAUUACUCAGGGGAAAAAACUCACAUCAGCAAUUAUGAAAUGACUGCAACAAAAUAAAACUAGGAAGAUGCUCAAAAAAAUGCUUUGCCUGGCCAAGAUUGAUGUUGGAAGAGCUCUUGUACAUGCUCUUUGGUUUUGAUAGGGAAUUAGCCUGAAUUUUCAGCAGCCUUGCAGUGUAUCUCUGCUGAACAGACACGACAGACUACACAAGUUCAGAGGGUUUUUUAUGCCUUAGGUGUGGUCUUCCAGUCCUCAAAUCACUGCAGUUCUGCAAACACAAACCCUAGAGCAGGAUUGCUGUGGAUUGAGUCACAGCCAUAUUUUUUCCUUUGAAUGAACACAGGAGAUGAGGCAGAAAGCUGCAGUAAAGACAGGAGGAAUCAAGGAGUGGAUGAAUUAAGCUCAGUCAUUCAUUCCAGCACACCGUGCCUGUAUAUCAAAGUCAAGAAUUGAAUGUAGAGGAAAAUGUUGCUGGAGCCAGUACAAGAGCUGGCACCCAUCCUGAUCAGAUUCCCACGGCAGCAUAUGGAAAUAAUUUCAUAAAAUGUAGCCAAACCUUGAAAUAGGUCUUAAUAUUCCCCUCCUCCCCCAAUUAUUGUCCUAGUACCACUAGUACAUCCCUACUGAAGAGUUUUUUCACUUUCUCAAUAAAGAACUAAAAAGCACCAUGCUGGUCACUCACUGCCUCCAGGUACCUCAGUGCUCCUCACACCACAAGCACCAGUCAUUUGGCCUGGCUCUAGUGACCUCCAGUGCCUCAGAGAGAGAAAACAAAAUCCAGAAAUCAAACUGCAUUAGUUACCUAUUUCUAAAGGUCUGAUUUGUGAGAACAAAGUAGCUCUCUGACUACCUUAAAUCUAGAGACAGGAGUUGCUAGUCCCAAAGCUACCUCUUGGCACCUGCUCCUUAAUGCCUUCACACCAGGGUGGGGGGAGUGCAGGACAGAGCAGACACAGGAAUGGACCAAGUGCUUAAAAUAACAUUUCAUUUUUCAAAUUAAAUCUGUAUGAGAGCAAAACUUGGUUUACAUUCAAAUAAACCAUGAUGCUGACAAUGUAGUUACUACUGGUUUUCCAUAUUCCUUUCACCUUUUCCCAUCAUGUUACGACUCAAAAAUACAACUUUCUGCACUUCAAACAGCAGUUUGUCCUUCAGAGAACAGGGAGAAUAUGGAGCUGUAUGCAGCCUGGUGGGAAAGUCUGCACAGUGUGUGUGAUCUGACAGCUGUUUCUAUGAAAAAAUGGAUCCAAAGCAAGACACAAAAAAAUGAGGGAAAAUUGCAUUUCAAGGUCUGACCCAAAGCCCUCAUUGUCAGUUUUAUUCAGUGCCACUGGGUUAGACCUUUAUCUGAAAGGAGCUAUUUUAGUCUGGCUCAGGAAGACUGCCAGGAGUCAGGAAGACUCAGGAAGGGGUUUCUGUGCCCAACCCUGCCACAACCCUGCAUGAGACUGAGUGCUACCAGAAGGCUGUAAAUAGAAGCUGGUACAGACAGUACUGUAGUAGGUACCUUCCAGAGUGGAGCUCCCUCUGAAAUCAAUGCACAUUCCCAUCUGGAGCAAGACUGGGUUUAAGCCACAAUCCAAGGAAAGCAGUUCAUGCUUCAUCAUUUCAUUUUACGCCAUAGAGAUUUAAAAAGCAAUAUUAAGAAACACACGUUACUUGUUCAUUUACUUCUGUCAUUUUGCUCAGUGGUCAAAGGAAACAGCCCAUGGAUUUCCAUUUUAUUCCUCACCAGUCAUAUUCUGAUCCUGCAAGACUAACAAAAAGCUUCAGCAUUUACAUUACAAAUGCUGUAACAGUGCCAGCCACAGCUAAUGUUCAGUUUUUAAAAUCUUAUUUAAUUUGGUAUUUUUUAGAGGUUUUUUAAUAUCUUCAUGAUUUUUUUUUUAAUUCAGAACAAAAAGUCAAUAAAAUGUCCAGUCUCAAAGAGUCUUGAAAAACCUCUUUAUGAAUGUAUAUAUAGUUUUAUGCUUUCUCCUAUGAGCAUCAAUUGAUAAAGAGCAGCAUAUGUUGCCAGUGAAAUAAUAGGAGAAUGGUCACUGACAUUUCUAGAUUUCACAUCUUCACAACACUCUCCUUUGGAAUUAUCCAACUGCAUACCAGAAGGCUUGUUUCUCUGUCUCUCCCCACUCUGUGAUGUGAUUCUCUAAUAACACAGUUUUCUAACAGUGAUCUAAACAUCUUACCAGCAGCUGCUAUAUAAUUUUAGGCAACCUUAAAACCAUAAUUAUUAUAGACAUAUGAGUCCAAUCCAGUAAAGAACAAAGUGAUACUGGUAUGGAGAAUUACUUCAGAGAGUAAAGAAACUGGUUCAUAUAACAGAUUCCCACUCCAGCAAGUAAUUAAAUACUGAGAAGAUGCUCCUCAGAAGCCAAGGAAAAAAGGUGUUUCACGUUUGAUAGAAUCACAGAAUCAUAGAAUCAACCAGGUUGAAAAAGACCUCCGAGAUCAUCCAGCCCAACCCUUGACCCACACCGCCAUGGUUACCAGACAAUGGCAUCAAGUGCCACAUCCAGUCUCAUCUUAAAAACCUCCAUGGACAGUGAAUCCAUCACCUCCCCAGUCAGCCCAUUCCAAUAUCAGAUUACUCUCUCUGUAAAAAAUUUCUUCCUAAUAUCCAACCUAAACCUCCCCAGGCAGAGCUUCAGACCGUAGUAACAGGACUAGUAAUUUCCCAGAGGGAUGAAUGUUGCUGUUCCUAAGGCCAUGGGCAUACAAUGUGUGCAAUCUGACAGCAGAGUGGAAGGUCAGGGAGCAGAGAAUCGUACUGGGAUCUUGUUCUUCAGUAUGAGGCACACAGCACUUUCAGGGAGCCACAGGCAAAAGCUGUGUCCUUCCUUAAGGAUCAAAUUGCCAGAGCCAGUGGAGCCAAAACCAGCCGGUUCUUUCUUAGUGAACUCUCAGGUGAAACAGCACAGGGCUCCAUCUCUUCAACUCACACAAAUGAUGACAGCUGACAACCAAAUGUGUUUUCUAUUUGUCUUUCAUCUGUGGAUGUGGAGUCAUUCUCUAGCACCCUGUUUUCACUGAGUUAAUUGCUUUUGCAUACUUACUUUUGAUUUAGUUUUUUAAAUAUGCUAAUAUUUUCUUCCUCACAACUGGCAUUGGGCAGCUGUGAGGCUGAGCUGACUGAGGUCUCAGAAGUGAAGAACUGAAGGCAGUUCAGCAGUCUUACCUACAUCUGAGACAAACAGAUAGCUGGCUGUCACAUUCUCUUCACAUAAGAAAAAGGAAGAAAUUCUGUAAUUGCAGAAUGUUUCACACCUUACCAAGGCAGAGACAAAUGGAUCUUGAUUUUACUGGCUUUUAAAACACCAUGGCUGUGCCCUUCAACUAUCACAUCCCACAUACUCUAUCUCUGCCACAGACAAGUAGCAGCCUGAAGGAAAAUGUGUGCCUGUCUGCCAAACUGCAGUAACUUCAGUCCCCUCCCAGGCACAGUGCCCAGAGGAAGUUGUAUGGGAAUCCAUGGUAGAAGAUGAGAGGAGAGAAACUACAGAUUGGAUAAGGAAAGCGGGGGCACAAAUGCACAACUGAAUUUCUGUGCCUUUCUCUUCUGUCAAACGGGAUAAUUUGAGGAACAGCCACUCACCGUAGGGGCUCCAAUGUAUUACCUCAUGAUUCACUGCUCAGAGAUAAGGAGAUUGAAGUGCCAUUACCCCUGCCAGUGCCAACAGUUCUGCAGGGAAUUGCUGCUGGCCAAAGGACAGGCCCAGUGAGGAGAGAGGGCAGAGAGCAAACUCAUGGGGCAGCCUGACUGAGGUGCCUGGGAGAGUCCUCAUGGAACUGACAGCCCACAGAUCCCCUCUCCAGAGUUUCCUAUAGAGAAUCAAGGUGAACAGGGCUCCAGGAGAUGAAGGCACAGAGCCCAGUCCAGUUCUGUUUUCACUGAAAUCAGAGAGGAAAUUUCUACUGAUUUCAAUGAAGUCAGGACUGUCUUUUGUAUGGGUAACCAAGAAAGUGUCAGUCAGGCUUCUCUGUCCUUUCCCAGGGAGAUCAGGUCACUGUCUUGUUCUUUUGGGUUCCACACCAUUAUUCUAAAACUUACUUUGGCCACCUGUACUGAAAGGGCAUUAGUGGUAGAACAACUGUUGAUUCAUUUUUUUGGUUUUGUAGUUGUUUUCUCCAAAAGAUGAACAAAAUCAUUAAACCACUUCACACUGAGAUGUUUUGUUCCAAUUUUAUCAGUAUAUGAAAAAACUCAAAAGUGUCUGUAAAAAAACCUCUGUAAACCCUAAUCUAUAAAGGUUUAGGUGUUGGAAGGGUUCAGGGCAAUAAAAAGACCCUUAAACACUGCUGAUAUUCUUACUAUAACAAAUUACCUCUUGCAUUUUGGUAGUGUUUGCAAUCAUUAGGCUUUUGCAAUGAGCAGCUUGUCUCACUGAAAAUCAUUCAUCCUCAUCCAGUGACAAAUUAUUUCCUCAAAUAUUGUGCCCUUUAUGAGCUGACAAAAUGUUGAUAAUUCAUGUUUCAUUGCUGAUCCUGAAGGGCAACUAACAUAAUUAUCCAAGGGUGCUCCUCCUGAUUUCUCAUAGUUUGCCCUCCAAGCAUACAUUUUUCAUCUCUGAGUUUUGAAUGCAUCUAUACUAUGCCUUUUAUAUAGUCAGACAGCAGAACAUGGAUCAUGGAAAUAAAUGAGCACUAUUUAUUGAGUCUCUGGGUCUAUUUUACUAAGUAAGACUUUUAUGAAAAUGGAAUAUAUUCAGCUACAGAGCAAAAGCCCUCUGGGAAUCAGGAUUAGGGAGUGCUGGGUACCAACCUUCCUUGUGCUCAAUAACUACAAGAAAACUCAGGAAACUUCACACAUGAUACCCAGUAUUUUCCAGUGCAUGCCCAACCCCGAAAGGAAGUUUUUAUUCCUGUUUUAUAAUGCACUCUUGAGGCAGACAUACACACAUUCUCACAAGUGGUUUCUCUGAUGAAAACAUGCCAUGCAACUAAGAGAUCAGUUAUCAAACAUAGUCAAAAAAAUUACACAGACUGAGUCCAUAAUCCCACAGGCAACCAGCAGCAAGGAUGAUUUAUGUAGUUCAAAGUGUCCUACUUUCCAGAUCUAAAGCUUUUUUUCUGUAAAAUAUGUUUAAAGGAAAUGAGAAAGCUCAUGAGCAACACUCUCAAAUAUGACACUUUAGCUCCAUCUAUAACUCUUCCAACGAUUACUGGUUGGCACAGGUUUGACUACGAACCCUGCAUUGCAUAUUAAGUGUUCAUUUCCUGCUUCAUACACACAGUUGGACACAGAGUCUUUGGAAGUCAUUAACCCUCAGAUUUACAAGUAUUUCAGCUGAGAGAAAUGUCUUUGCUGAGAUGUGUGAGUACAUGUGCAGCAGUAAGACCUUGUUCCAUAGUAACUAACACGUUUUUGCAAGGCAGCCCCUAUUCAGAAUAACACAGAAUGGGUAACAUUGGAAGAGACCACAGCGGGGCAUCUGGUCCAACCUCCCUGCUUCAGCAGGUCAUCCCAGAACACACGGCACAGGACUGUGUCCAGAUGGUUCUGGAACAUCUCCAGUGAGGGAGACUCCACACCCUCUCUGGUCAGUCUGUUCCAGUGCUCAGUCACUGCACAGGAAAGUUCUUGAGAAACCCACAUGAAGUAUCACCUGGGAGAAGCUACUUUAAGAGUCACAAUUCCUCUCAUUGCUGAUCAACAUUUUAGCAGGAUUGCACUCUGAGGCACUAAAAUAUUUCCAGUUAUCCCUUUUCCUUCUUCCUCUGUCUCAGCAGCUGCCUGGAGCAACCAGCUGUGGGAGGAGGAAUUAGAAAAAUGAGACUGUGUAGAUAGUAUAAACUGGAUUAGUCCCACUCUGUAAAUCAUCCUCUGGGCUCUUUGUGAAGUAAACCAAAACCAAGAUACACCCUUCCUUGAUGAGUUACAGGGGAUGCAGCAGUGACCUGGUGGAGAUUAUUAAGUGGUUUGGUUUGGUUUGAAGAAAUAUUUUGCGGGAGAAGGAUCAGGAUGUAGUGCAUGUAAACGUGGAUAAGCAACGAAAAUGCAUAUAAAUUGUACGUACAGUCUGCCAGCCAAAAUCACCAAUGACUUAUAAAAACACUAAGCUGUGUAGGAGAAUUUUAGAGCCAUCUGACUGCCAUCAAAGCAGCUGAGUUUUACAACUGUUUUAUAGAAAAUACCCUCAAUCCUUUCUAGAAACCUUUUCUGAUUUUCAGUGUGGGAGUUCUGUCUUGGUUCCACAGAUCAGAGACAGGCUGCUUUUCCUCCUGAAGUACAAUAUAAAUAUGUUAACAUUAAAAAUGAUGAACAAGGAGAAAAUCUAGAACUGGCACCAUCCUUUGAAUCAGUUGUCUUUGUUGAUUACAGUACUUUGUCAAAUAUUUUCUAAAAAGGUCUAGUGUAGACUAUUAA